rnacentral:lncRNA from 1 species
CAUUGCAUGAAAUUGGGCAUCUUCUUGGACUUGGGCAUACAAAUAUUCCGGAUGCAAUUAUGUACCCUAAUAUCCGUUAUGCUAUGGUAAAAAGAACUCUACAUCAAGAUGAUAUCGAUGGAAUUAGAACUUUAUAUGGAUCUUGAUAGCAAGAUUAGUUAUCAUAGGCACCAAUCAAGAUCAGGUUAUAAGUCCCGUCCUAAGUUUUCAAGGUCAUUUUGAGUUUAAACAAAAGUAUAAUUUAGGGUUUGAAGAAUAACAUUAUAUAUUAGUUCAAUUUGACUUAGCUACAAUGUUCCAUGUUUAUAAUUACAACGUUAUUCUUGUGCAGAUUCAAAAUAAACAUUAUAUCAAUAACAUUACAACAUUAGUUCUUAUGCAGAUGCGGAAAAAUAAAAUUAUGUUCAUUAUUUGUACGAAAAAAUAAUUACCAUGAAUUCAAGGGCAAUUUUUUAUAGGUCAAUGUUAGGAUAUGUCUAUUUUAAUUCCUAUUUAUUUAAUAGCCUUAAUAUUAGUCUUUGACGCGUGCGUUGCACGAGUUUUGUAUUUAUUUUAUUUUAUUAGCGUCAAAAUUGUAGAUUUUUCAAAAUUGGUUGAAGAUUUGAAGUAUUUGAUGAAGUCCAAUCGUUUGGUUCAUUGGAUUAUCGCAGGAUGCAUAGAGAUUUCUUUUUCGUUUUUUAUUUUUUUCUCAUUUAUUUAUAUUUUAUUUCUUUUGUUCAUAUUAUAAAUAUUUUUUUUCGAUUUAAAAUCCUUUUUAAUUUUUUUCUUUAUAAAAAAAAUUAUUUUUUUAAUUUUAAUUAAAUAAUAUUUAUAUGUUUUUUUAUUUAAUUUUCAGAACAUUCUUUUGUUUAAUUUGCUUUGUUUUUAUUAUAUAUUUUUUGAAGAUUGUUUUAAAAAAAAAUCUUCAUAUUAUAAAUAAUUUGUUGUUUGAUUUAAAAUUCUUUUCGUUCUUUAUUUAAUUUUCACAACAUUUUUGCAAGAUUGUUUUUUUCUUUUCGAUUUAAAAUAAAUUAUUAGUUUCUCCUUAGGUAUCUAAAUCUUUUUUGCUUUUCUCCUUAUUCUACAACACAAUUAUUCUAGAUGUUUUCCUAAUUCAUAUUGAUAUUUACAUUCUAGUUCUUUGCUACUCCAUCAUUUAAAGAGAAAUCAACAGUAUAACAUAUUAAUAAAAAUGCAUGUUGUACAAUAUUGCCAAUUAAUUGGACAACAAAAUCACUUCGAGAAACAUUAGCAGUAAAUUAAUAAACUCAUAAAAUUACAAUAGCUACUAAAUGCACAAAUUCUAAUCUGACCUCUGUAAACUGUAAUAAGAGGUCUAACCUGACCUCUAUAAACUGUAAUAAGAGGCAGAGGAUGAAGAAAGGGCAGAGUGGAGGGCCACUCCACUGGCAUUGUAGUUGUAAUAUUUUCACAUAACCCAUCUAUUAUCACACCCUAAAAGACAACACAAAUCAUGCAUCAAUACCACAGACAGUGUAUUAAACAUACAAAAAAAUAAGGAGCUUACGUGUCAAGAAGUAAAGAGACAUCAAAUAUACAGACACCUCACUGGACGGUUCUAGUCUUAGUUUCUUGGAACGAAUCUUACAAGAAAGGGUUGGGGCCUCAGUCCCCAAUGGAGUUUAUUUUUAGUUGUCACUCACUAAAACUUCAUCAACUAAAUGUGUUUCCGAAGCUUUCUUCUAUUC